rnacentral:rRNA from 1 species
UACGUAGGUGACGAGCGUUGUCCGGAUUUACUGGGCGUAAAGAGCGCGCAGGCGGUCGUUCAAGUCGAGUGUGAAAGCCCCCGGCUCAACUGGGGAGGGUCAUUCGAUACUGAUCGACUCGAAGGCAGGAGAGGGAAGUGGAAUUCCCGGUGUAGUGGUGAAAUGCGUAGAUAUCGGGAGGAACACCAGUGGCGAAGGCGGCUCUCUGGACCGGUACUGACGCUCAGGCGCGGAAGCGUGGGGAGCGAUCCGG